AAACAAAACAAAGGGAUAUACUCGCCAGCAGGGCUGCUAACAAAUCAACAAUGGCCAUGGCUGUCACUAUACCUCCUAUUGCUGGUUAUACAAGCGAUAACAGCACAAGUCUCUUCAGUGCUUGUUCAUCGGCCGCUAUUUUCCCGCCACUGGCUUGUGGGGACAAUACGCUGUGCACACGUAACCCGCUGUUCUCGAUCUUCACCGGCUCCAACCAGGUG